CAGGGUGGAAAUCAGAACUGGUGUCUCGCGAGACUUCCCCUGACCCCAUUAAACGCUUUCUCCAGAGCAGUACCAGUGGGCCCUUGUCCAAUUUUUUAAAGCAUGAAGACUGGCGAGAGUCCUGGGCUGUCAGAUUCAGAAUUUUACUGCAGAGAACACCUUUUGGAGACAUCUGAUUGGAUCGCUAAAGGAUAAAGCACAAUGUUUUUGUGUGUCCGUGCAAAUCAUUUCUGACCAUUUCGUUACCCCCAGGUUAUAUACUUUUGUUUUACUUUAAGAAGAGCAAGCAUAUUGUUUAAAAAGCACACCCACUGGUUCUUUUUGGCAGGCGAGCAUAUAUUAAAUCUGAGUGUGUUAC